GGAAUUUUCCGCAAUGGGCGAAAGCCUGACGGAGCAAUACCGCGUGAGGGAAGACUGCCCAUGGGUUGUAAACCUCUUUUUUCAGGGAGGAAUAAAAUGACGUGUACCUGAAGAAUAAGCAUCGGCUAACUCCGUGCCAGCAGCCGCGGUAAGACGGAGGAUGCAAGUGUUAUCCGGAAUCACUGGGCGUAAAGCGUCUGUAGGUGGUUUAAUAAGUCAACUGUUAAAUCUUGAGGCUCAACUUCAAAACCGCAGUCGAAACUAUUAGACUAGAGUAUAGUAGAGGUAAAGGGAAUUUCCAGUGGAGCGGUGAAAUGCGUAGAGAUUGGAAAGAACACCGAUGGCGAAAGCACUUUACUGGGCUAUUACUAACACUCAGAGACGAAAGCUAGGGUAGCAAAUGGGAUUAAUACCCCAGUAGUC
rnacentral:rRNA from 1 species